rnacentral:rRNA from 1 species
CCUACGGGGGGCAGCAGUAGGGAAUAUUGCUCAAUGGGGGAAACCCUGAAGCAGCAACGCCGCGUGGAGGAUGAAGGUUUUAGGAUUGUAAACUCCUGUUGUUAGAGAAGAGGAUGACGGUAUCGAACGAAUAAGCACCGGCGAACUCCGUGCCAGCAGCCGCGGUAAGACGGAGGGUGCAAGCGUUCCUCGGAAUCACUGGGCGUAAAGAGUGCGUAGGCGGGGUACUAAGUCAGAUGUGAAAUCCUGUAGCUUAACUACAGAACUGCAUUUGAAACUGUUACUCUGGAGUGUGGGAGAUGUAUGUGUACUUCUUGGUGUAGGGGUCCUCUCCGU